AGAGUUUGAUCCUGGCUCAGGAUGAACGCUAGCGGCAGGCCUAAUACAUGCAAGUCGAACGGUCUCGCAAGAGAUAGUGGCGCACGGGUGCGUAACGCGUAUGCAACCUACCUAUCAGUGGGGAAUAGCCCGGGGAAACCCGGAUUAAUACCGCAUAAGAACAAAGAGUGGCAUCACUUUUUGCUGAAACAUUUAUGGCUGACAGAUGGGCAUGCGUAAGAUUAGCUAGUUGGUAGUGUAAGGGACUACCAAGGCAAUGAUCUUUAGGGGUUCUGAGAGGAAGAUCCCCCACACUGGUACUGAGAUACGGACCAGACUCCUACGGGAGGCAGCAGUAGGGAAUAUUGGGCAAUGCCCGCAAGGGUGACCCAGCCAUGCCGCGUGCAGGAAGAAGGCCUUCUGGGUUGUAAACUGCUUUUGGAAGGGAACAAAAUGGUCGUGCGCGACAACUUGAGUGUACCUUCAGAAUAAGCACCGGCUAACUCCGUGCCAGCAGCCGCGGUAAUACGGAGGGUGCAAGCGUUGUCCGGAUUUAUUGGGUUUAAAGGGUGCGUAGGCGGCCGCUUAAGUCAGGGGUGAAAGACUGCAGCUCAACUGUAGCAGUGCCUUUGAUACUGAGUGGCUUGAGUACAGAUGAGGCCGGCGGAAUGGGUGGUGUAGCGGUGAAAUGCAUAGAUACCAUCCAGAACACCGAUUGCGAAGGCAGCCGGCUAAACUGUAACUGACGCUGAGGCACGAAAGCGUGGGGAUCGAACAGGAUUAGAUACCCUAGUAGUCC
rnacentral:rRNA from 1 species